rnacentral:rRNA from 1 species
GAUGAACGCUGGCGGCGUGCCAAUACAUGCAAGUCGAGCGAACGGACGAGAAGCUUGCUUCUCUGAUGUUAGCGGCGGACGGGUGAGUAACACGUGGAUAACCUACCUAUAAGACUGGGAUAACUUCGGGAAACCGGAGCUAAUACCGGAUAAUAUUUUGAACCGCAUGGUUCAAAAGUAAAAGACGGUCUUGCUGUCACUUAUAGAUGGAUCCGCGCUGCAUUAGCUAGUUGGUAAGGUAACGGCUUACCAAGGCAACGAUGCAUAGCCGACCUGAGAGGGUGAUCGGCCACACUGGAACUGAGACACGGUCCAGACUCCUACGGGAGGCAGCAGUAGGGAAUCUUCCGCAAUGGGCGAAAGCCCGACGGAGCAACGCCGCGUGAGUGAUGAAGGUCUUCGGAUCGUAAAACUCUGUUAUUAGGGAAGAACAUAUGUGUAAGUAACUGUGCACAUCUUGACGGUACCUAAUCAGAAAGCCACGGCUAACUACGUG